rnacentral:rRNA from 1 species
CAUCCUCCAAGGCUAAAUACUCCUGACUGACCGAUAGUGAACCAGUACCGUGAGGGAAAGGCGAAAAGAACCCCGGCGAGGGGAGUGAAAAAGAACCUGAAACCGUGUACGUACAAGCAGUGGGAGCACAGGUUUACCUGUGUGACUGCGUACCUUUUGUAUAAUGGGUCAGCGACUUAUAUUCUGUAGCAAGGUUAACCGUCACUCCCCUCGCCAUUACGAAGUUUAAUUCAGAGUCAAUCGAGGAAGACCAAGGGUUCCUGUCCAACGUUAAUCGGGGCAGGGUGAGUCGACCCCUAAGGC